UACGGAGGGUGCGAGCGUUGUCCGGAAUCACUGGGCGUAAAGGGCGCGUAGGCGGCCAACUAAGUCAUACGUGAAAUCCCUCGGCUUAACCGGGGAACUGCGUCUGAUACUGGAUGGCUUGAGUUUGGGAGAGGGAUGCGGAAUUCCAGGUGUAGCGGUGAAAUGCGUAGAUAUCUGGAGGAACACCGGUGGCGAAGGCGGCGAUCCUGGACCAAC
rnacentral:rRNA from 1 species